AUCAUUGUGAAGCAGAAUU
rnacentral:snRNA from 1 species